rnacentral:rRNA from 1 species
AUUGAACGCUGGCGGCAGGCCCAACACAUGCAAGUCGAAUGGUAACAGGAAACAGCUUGCUGUUUCGCUGACGAGUGGCGGACGGGUGAGUAAUGUCUGGGAAACUGCCUGAUGGAGGGGGAUAACUACUGGAAACGGUAGCUAAUACCGCAUAACGUCGCAAGACCAAAGAGGGGGACCUUCGGGCCUCUUGCCAUCAGAUGUGCCCAGAUGGGAUUAGCUAGUAGGUGGGGUAACGGCUCACCUAGGCGACGAUCCCUAGCUGGUCUGAGAGGAUGACCAGCCACACUGGAACUGAGACACGGUCCAGACUCCUACGGGAGGCAGCAGUGGGGAAUAUUGCACAAUGGGCGCAAGCCUGAUGCAGCCAUGCCGCGUGUAUAAAGAAGGCCUUCGGGUUGUAAAGUACUUUCGGCGGGGAGGAAGGGAGUAAAGUUAAUACCUUGGCUCAUUGACGUUACCCGCAGAAGAAGCACCGGCUAACUCCGUG